GGAGAGGUGCGAGAGUGGUCGAAUCGGGCUCCCUGCUAAGGAGUUGAUCGGCUUACCCCGAUCCAAGGGUUCGAAUCCCUUCCUCUCCG
rnacentral:tRNA from 1 species